rnacentral:rRNA from 1 species
CCUACGGGACGCACCAGUGGGGAAUAUUGGACAAUGGGCGAAAGCCUGAUCCAGCAAUGCCGCGUGUGUGAAGAAGGUCUUCGGAUUGUAAAGCACUUUCGACGGGGACGAUGAUGACGGUACCCGUAGAAGAAGCCCCGGCUAACUUCGUGCCGGCAGCCGCGGUAAUACGAAGGGGGCUAGCGUUGCUCGGAAUGACUGGGCGUAAAGGGCGCGUAGGCGGUUUAUGCAGUCAGAUGUGAAACCCCCGGGCUUAACCUGGGAACUGCAUUUGAGACGCAUAGACUAGAGGUCGAGAGAGGGUUGUGGAAUUCCCAGUGUAGAGGUGAAAUUCGUAGAUAUUGGGAAGGACACCGGUGGCGAAGGCGGCAACCUGGCUCGAUACUGACGCUGGGGCGCGAAAGCGUGGGGAGCAAACAGGAUUAGAUACCCUCGUAGUC